GGCAUUAUCAUUGGUGUUUUUAUUUUCUUUUUAACUUUUUUAAAAAUUUUUUCUUAUAAUUACACUAUAUUUUUCACAAAGCACGAACUUGUUUCAUGUGCCAGAACGAGUUAUUUACAGUCACGACAGUUACGUUAUUGACAGAAAGCCUCUUUUGACUAUUUUUUCUUCUAUCCUGCUGUUUAAUUUUUUUCCCUCCUUUUGUGGGCCCAAAGUGCACUGAGCACCGAACCGACACACUUCCUCAAGGAGAAAUUCAGUGCCGUUUUACAGCUCUUGUCCGGUGUUCUGCACUGUCAAUGAUCAAUAACAAGAUGCUGAACACCACUCUAUUUACUCAAUCAACAGCCAGCAGGUUGUAUUUUUAUUUUCAGUCCUUUUUAUUAAGAGGUUCUCCCUUUCUGAGAGCCCAUCGGCAUCGUGGGACAACGCGUAACGUCGUUGGUCUGAGAUAAUCGAGCGGGAGGAGACCGCAGAGCGCGCGACCCGCUGGUGUGCGCGCGCCUGGUAGCAAGCGAGGCAGCGUUCGGUGAUGGCAGUUGACUCUUGCAACAGCACGAAUCAGUUAAGGGUUUCGAGGCAGUUUGGCAGCUUUAAACUCUUAACAAAUACCGCCUGCUGCGAUUUUAGGUGUCUGUACUUUUUCGAAAGAAAUCGAGUCAUGCUUGUUUGCGCGGCGCUGCUGUUUCCGGUGGUAGCGCUCGCGGCCGCAGCGCGUGGCGCUCUCGUUCGGAGACUAGAUGCCGCGGAGGGGUCGGGGACAGCGCUCCCAGAGAAAAUAGAUCUACUGGAGUUCUUCUCCUGGCAAGCAGCAAACAGCGACACCGUGUCUCUCUCCACUGGGCCUGAUGAAUGUAUGAAUCUGCACAUCGGCCAUUAUGCCACCCUUGCUCUGCCCACUUACCAGGCAUUUGGAACCAGUUUUGCAGAUGAGUUCAGUGUGUUGAUGCAGCUGCGCAGCUCCCAGCAGGAGGACCGCAGCUUGCUGACUGUGCUGAGUCCUCAAGGUCACAUUCUGCUUCAGGUCCGCCUUAGUCCCAGAGCCUUGAACUUCAUCACAACACAGCAGCGCCUCUACGAGUUCCCGGUGGUGUUCCUGUCAGAUGGCGAGUGGCACCAUGUCUCUCUCGCUGUAUCAGUGCUGAGUCUGGCCCUCUAUGUAGACUGCAUGCUGGUGGAAAGUGUGGACUGGACCUACCUAGACUUGGACAUCAUCACCGAUAGCUUGCUGAUGGUAGGAGGCAUCAUUGAGGACUUUGAAACUCCAUUUGAGGGAGAUCUCAGACAGUUGACCUUUGUAAUGGGUGAUCCCAAUGCUGCUAAGGACCACUGUCGCCUCCACCUGCCUGUGUGUAGGAGAUCAGUCAAGACGCCAUGAACCCAUAAGACAUCCCAACCCUUGGAGUUACCUAUACAGUCCUCAUCAUGUAUCCUUAAGUGCUUAAAAAAUGGCAAGAGUAGAACAUGUCAUUCAAUAUUGUAUCUAGAAGGAUUUUGCUUUGCAACACAUGUAAAUUUAGCCGACACAGUGUGCAGCUGUUACCCCAUGUGUGGUAUAGCAUACAAUAACAUACACCCCAUGCCUUACCUUUAAAAACUAAAAGCACAGGAAAAUGAGCAUAAUCAAGUCUUCUAAACUCAUGUUGUGACAUCUAUCAUCUCCUUAGAGCUCUGUGUUUACUGGUUUAGUGAUAGCCUUUAAAGUGGCAUUUUUGGCAUAUUCUCUGCUCAGUUUGACUUAUUUUGUUCCAUCUGGUGUCUUAUGCUGUCCACGAAUGACUUAGAACACUUGAUAAAAUUCUGAAAGCUCCAUUUAUGCAAAUGUCACAUUGAUGUAUGAAAAUUAUUAAAGACCCCUGUUAUAAUUAGGAGUGUAUAGUACAGAGCAUAAUUUUAAAAUGUGUAAUAAAAGUGUUUUUUUGUAUCA
rnacentral:lncRNA from 1 species